GGAUUUGAUGAGAUGCGUGUCUUUGAAGUCGGGGUUUGGGGGGGAAAUUGGGCUUGAUUUAGGAAGAGUGUGCGAGAAAUAAGGGUGUUAGGGUUUGAAUGUGAGUUGCGGUUUGGGUCAUGUGUGAAUAGAGGUAGGAAGUUGGUGGAAAUUGUUGGGGUUUAAAAUUAUUGCUACUUUCUCCUCUCUAGGGAAUAACCGUAAUCACCUUGUGGCUGUG
rnacentral:lncRNA from 1 species